rnacentral:rRNA from 1 species
AGAAUCAACGCUGGCGGCGUGCCUAACACAUGCAAGUCGAACGCGGUUAGCCCGCAAGGGUUAACUGAGUGGCGAACGGGUGAGUAACACGUGGGUGAUCUACCUUCGAGUGGGGGAUAACGUUCCGAAAGGAACGCUAAUACCGCAUGACGUUCUGGGUUUGAAGACCUGGAAACCAAAGUCGGGGACCGCAAGGCCUGACGCUUGGAGAGGAGCCCGCGCCUGAUUAGCUAGUUGGUGAGGUAAUGGCUCACCAAGGCGACGAUCAGUAGCCGGCCUGAGAGGGCGGACGGCCACACUGGGACUGAGACACGGCCCAGACUCCUACGGGAGCAGCAGUGGGAAUUGUCGCAAUGGCGCAAGCCUGACGACGCAACGCCGCGUGG